rnacentral:misc_RNA from 1 species
GAUGAAGAACGCAGCGAAAUGCGAUACGUAAUGUGAAUUGCAGAAUUCAGUGAAUCAUCGAAUCUUUGAACGCAUAUUGCGCUCUCUGGUAUUCCGGAGAGCAUGCUUGUUUGAGUAUCAGUAAACACCUCAACUUCCAUAUCUUUUUUGAAAUGGGAGUUGGACUUGAGUGAUCCCAACGCUUUUCCUCACCGAAAAGUGGCGGGUUACUUGAAAUGCAGGUGCAGCUGGACUUUUAUCUGAGCUAAAAGCAUAUCUAUUUAGUCCUCGUCAAACAGGAUUAUUACUUUUGCUGCAGCUAACAUAAAGGAUAAUUGUCCUCUUUGCUGACUGAUGCAGGAUUUUACGACACUUUAUGUGUUGUUCAACUCGAUCUCAAAUCAAGUAAGACUACCCGCUGAACUUAAGCAUAUCAAUAAGCGGAGGA